GGGGAAAUGGCUCAGUGGUAGAGCGUCCGCUGUGAGUAGUCUCAUCUUUUACCGUGAGGUCAAUGAUCUAAUUGAUUUCUAGUUGCAUCUUCUGUUGAGUGCUCAGUCUGCGGAAGGCCCGGGGUUCGAUCCCCCGUUUCUGUG
rnacentral:tRNA from 1 species